UGUAUGCUCAGGGAACACAAAGGAAGCAUCUUCAUGCUCAAUGUUACGACUGCCAUGUGGUCUGUCUGAGACUGAAGGUGCCCCUCAGCAGCUCUGGUAAUUUCAAAUGCAGCCUUGCAGCACAGUGAUUCUCCCUUUCUUUUUUCCACAUGGCUGCUUGGUUUGCAGAGGAUGCCUUCUUACAGAUGUGUUCCUUCCCGACAAACAAUUACCCCUGUUCCCCUCUGCAGGAGGCCAUUAGGACAUGAUCACGGGUUCUGCUAAGUCAUCUCACAAUCACAGUUCUGUGCAGUCGCCUCUCAUCUGAGUCUAUCGAGGCAUAUGCCGUGCGGGGAAACUAGCAGUCACAAAACGCAGCACCUCCAGGCAUAUUAUUUGUUAUUUUGGCCCAGGAGUGUGACAGAUAAUGGUUACUUUGUGAAGGUCUCAUUGACGGCAAUGCCUGGCAUCAUAUGCAGAAAAUGCGGAAAAGCCAGAAUGGGUGCUCAUGUCCCUACUUAAAUAGCAACAGAAUGAACAAUUUUGUAUUUUUCACUGCGGUUAUAAGCACUAAAAAGGGAGACCAAAAAGGUAAUGUUUGGGGAAUUAUUCUGCUGAAUAGACCCAGGAAACUAAACUUACGUUGCAUCUGUUCUUUAUUACUUAUUGUUUAUGAGCUGUGUGUACAAAGUGCAAAUGUGUCAAUAAUUUGCUUUGUAUUUAGCUUGGUUAUCAUAACGGAGCUAAGCAUCUAACAUGAUUUUACUAACGAAAUACCGUAAAGCUAUAGGCAUUUCUAAGCUUGCAAUGUGCUGAUUAUUAGGAGAUACUCCCUAAAAUCCUGAUGUAGCAGGUGGAUCCUCCCAUGCUAAAUUGACAGCAGCAGAGAGCUCCAUUACUGAUAUACUGCUUGAGAACGUGUUCACACUUCUCCCCUAGCUGUUCACACACUUCUCUUGUUUAAAAUAUCCUUAAUUAAACGGUAUGAUUUUGAGGAUUGUGUUAGACAACAAAAUAAAUACACCCCAAACUGAGUUAUUUCUCGAUAGAAGGAAGCCAGCUGUUUUGUGGUAGACUUUCAGUCUGCAUAAAUGUUACAAACUACUGAAUUACUAAAAGGCCCCUUGAUAUGUGAUCUCAUGUUGUUUAAUAGGCCUCCAAUUACUUUGGGGAAAAAUGGGUUUUAUUGUGUUAAUCAUAUGAAAACGAAGUUUUCCCUAUCUAAUCCCUAUCUAAUUAUGAGAGGUUUUUAAACUUGUAAUAAUAUCCUAAUUAUUUCCUCUUAUUGGAGCAAGUUGCAUUCUAAAGGUAAUGCUCAAAAAUGAAUAUGACACACUGCCCAGUGAAAUAGCUUGGUUUCUAUUUGCAUGGGUUUUGAAUCUGUUGUUGUUGUUCUUUCAAACCUUAUCAGUGGACGAUAUUUGGCACUGCACCUCCAACAAUUUUCCAUACUCUGUGAUAAGUCUGAUCAGAACCUUAAUUCAGGUUCUAUACAACAUGUCCAGUAUAUAGUGGCAUUAAAUCAAGUGAGUGUAGACUCACAGCAAUCAAUAUGAAAUUAAACACAGAACAAUGCAGUUUAAGGUUCUGUGGUUGCCGACAGGCAGAAGGUGAGGUAGCAUAAUCACUUGCUCUGCUCCAUCUGACUCUUUGCAAGUACUUUGGUUUGGGGGAAUCUUAUAGUGUGAGAUGCAAGAGAUUAGAAAGAUAAGGUGGUGGGGAGAAGAUGUCUACUGAAAAUAGACACCACUGAGCAACAUCCUAACCUCACCCCCAAGUUAAAAUGCCUUUGCAGCAAAUGAAAAGCAGAACCGCAAAGUGAACCUUGUAGUCAAUGGAAGUGGAAAAAAAAAGACCAUCACUUUCCUGCAAUGAACUCAUCAGGGAGCUCCUCCCUAAUUUAGGCUCUAGCUUGCAAAAAAGAAAUCUUUUUUUUUCCCCUCUGACACUAUUAGAUCAAAACAGUACCCAGACAUUAGACAGUAUUUAUUAGCUUGUAAGGCCAGAGAUAAUGAUCCCAUUCAAUCAGAACUCAUGAAUAAUUCAGCAGUCCCAACUCGACAUAAUUUCUGGCUUUACUUUUAAAACCAGUAAAGCACCAUUUGCAUUGCCUUUUUGAGGGGAGGGCGAAAUGACAGUAAGCAGAAAAAUAAAAUGGAUUUUCUUUUGUUGUUUUUGUUCUGCUUUGCAAACAUACUCAGCUCUCUAAAAGGUUAUCUCCCUUCUUUUUUGUCCCCUCCCAUCUCUCAGAACAAAAACAACAUCAGAAUAAAUAUUAAUCAUGAUACUAUUGAGGAGAUGCUGUACACUAAUUAUUGUCAAGAAUAGCGCUACCCAUAUUUAUAGAGGACUUUGUAAUCACUGCAAUUUGUUCAGUAUUGUUACUUAUACUAACUGCUAUGAAGUAAUUACACCUUUUUCACUUUUUUUUUUGUUGUUUUAAAAGAACACCCACACUUUUUUCUUUUCUUUCAGACAAACUUGCCAAUAAUCUUUUCCCUGUUACGUUAUCAGAGCUAUUCUGUGAAAUUUACUUCCCACUGCCAAGCUGAAUAAGCUCAGUCCUAUGUGGUACUGUGGAAACCUUUGGAAAAUUGCUAUGCUACUGAAUGGGAGGCACAGGAUGUAUCUGAUCUGAGAUAUUCAGGAUCUCAAAACCUUUCUCUACCUCAUCUUGCCCAGCUCUGCUGAUAUAUCACUUGUUAUAACAGUAUUUUACUUACACUUCACUGAAGGUUCCAAGCUGCUUUAGAUGUUCUUACUUCACUGAUUAUCCCUUCACUUCUCCAGGUGAUGCUGAAUAGCUGAUAAAGAUUUCUUCAGUUGGAUCAUUCUGCUGCUUUGUGUAGACACCUUUGUAUUUAAUGUCUUCUAAGUCGUGAUAGCAUUGAUAUGACUGCUAUGUGGCUUGGUCCCUUUCAGUUCUAGGGUGAACUUACAGGAGAGAGAAGAUUGUCCCUUGCAGUGAUGCUCCCUUUAUGGUUAUGACUGUCACUCCUGAAAAAAGUAGCACGCUCCUAACACCAUCUUCAGCAAACUUCCAGUAGCCUUUUAGAAUAUUUGUUACAGUGCUUACUGCUGUGAACCUUCAUGAAAGGGGAUUGGAGAUAUCUUAUGUUUUGUUAUAAACAGAAACAGCCUUCCUAAAUCAUGGGAAGGGGGAAGUGGUAUUAGGAGGAGCGAAGGCAUUCUGGUGCUGUCUUUAAAAGAGUACAUAUUCUGAACAUCUUUGUUAAUGCAACUAAUGUAGAUGUCAAGGAAGUCAUCAUGUGCAUGUGUAAUGGUGCAGCAGAGUGGCUGUACACAACUGAAUUAACGUCUAUGAUCCAAUGGGAAAUAUGGAAAUUAUUUUUCCAGUUUAAUCUGGGAUGUUGGCCUGUCUUUCCAUACGUGUAAUAUUUUGCCCUUGGAAAAGGGAUCAACAUGGUAUCAAGUGGAGUGUUCCUAUGAAAGUUCUUCGCAGAACUGUAGUUUGAGAUUUGAACAUACUGGAGAAUGUCCUUGAUGUAUCUGGCAUAUUUCUUUAUCAAGCAGAACAGAAAAAAUCAUAAAACAUAAUCAUUUACUUCAUUAAAUUAUAACACCGUUUAAAGGAGAAGGUGGCACGCUGGCUGCUUUGGAUCAAGAGGUUUUGAGGGUAAAUAAGCAAAAGCUCUGUAAGCAAUAAUUUAAAGAAGGAAUGUGAAAAAAAUCUUGAGGGGCUUUAGGCAUACUGGUUAACAUGCAGUGUUAGUCUGAGUGAGUGUGUUUGUGUAUUCGUGUCAACCAUUAAUUAAAGACCACUUG
rnacentral:lncRNA from 7 species